GAUGAAGAACGCAGCGAAAUGCGAUAAGUAGUGUGAAUUGCAGAAUUCAGUGAAUCAUCGAAUCUUUGAACGCACAUUGCGGCCAUAGGUAUUCCUUUGGCCAUGCCUGUUCGAGUGUCAUUUACACCCUCAAGCCUAGCUUGGUGUUGGGCGUCUGUCCCGCCGUUCUCGCGCGCGGACUCGCCUCAAAGUCAUUGGCGGCGGUCGUGCCGGCCCCCUCGCGCAGCACAUUUGCGCUUCUCGGAGGCCCGGCGGAUCCGCGCUCCAGCAAGACCUUUCACGACUUGACCUCGGAUCAGGUAGGGAUACCCGCUGAACUUAAGCAUAUCAAUAAGCGGAGGA
rnacentral:misc_RNA from 1 species